GACGAACGCUGGCGGCGUGCUUAACACAUGCAAGUCGAACGGAAAGGCCCUGCUUUUGUGGGGUGCUCGAGUGGCGAACGGGUGAGUAACACGUGAGUAACCUGCCCUUGACUUUGGGAUAACUUCAGGAAACUGGGGCUAAUACCGGAUAGGAGCUCCUGCUGCAUGGUGGGGGUUGGAAAGUUUCGGCGGUUGGGGAUGGACUCGCGGCUUAUCAGCUUGUUGGUGGGGUAGUGGCUUACCAAGGCUUUGACGGGUAGCCGGCCUGGGAGGGUGACCGGCCACAUUGGGACUGAGGUACGGCCCAGACUCCUACGGGGGGCAGCAGUGGGGAAUAUUGCACAAUGGGCGGAAGCCUGAUGCAGCAACGCCGCGUGCGGGAUGGCGGCCUUCGGGUUGUAAACCGCUUUCGCCUGUGACGAAGCGUGAGUGACGGUAAUGGGUAAAGAAGCACCGGCUAACUACGUG
rnacentral:rRNA from 1 species